CCACCUCUGUCGAUUCCCCCCGGCUCCCGCACCAUCCCAUCAUCGCCCUGGAUCCCGCCGCCGCCCCCUGACCAACCUGCCUCCCGCCGCCGCCCCCCGACCCCGACGCACCUCCUACCGCCGGCCACCCGACCCCAACGCCCACCUCCUGCCGCCGGCCAACCGACCCCAACGCCCACCCGCUUCCGCCCGCCGGAGCCGCCGCGCCCCAACUCGCGAGCUCCGCCGCCGCCGGCGAAGCCCCCGCGCCCUGUUACCGGAUCCACCGGCCGCAGCGACGCGAUGCCCACCUCCGCCCCCUUCCCCCGGCGAUCCCGACCCCGUACUGCAUCGGGACACCGCCGGUGGCCUCGGAUCUGAGCACUGGCCACUAGUUCUGCGGAUGCUCACGCGGGGGUUGUGCUACUCCGGCGAGCUCCUUCAUGCUCGACCACGGCGCGCCGACGGCGCCCUCCUCCCUCUCGUUCCCUCUUCCAUCCCCGAGCCCAAAUCCGACGAGCUUGUCAACCGGCGAGCCUUGCUGUCCCUAGUGCUGCCACCACCCGAUGUCCACCGUGCCUACCUGUGAUGCACCUGCAGCUAGAGGAGGGCUCGGCCUGCAGCAAGAGGAGGGCACGACCUGCAGCUGCGUGGCCACAUCCGGCAGAAAAGAUAGAGGCGGCUGGGUCAUGGAUCUUGCACGCGCCCCUCCGGCCAGGAGGCUGCCUAGCUGCUGAAUCUCCCUAACGCCACCAGUACGUGAUUUUGAGACACGGGGCCGUCGCAAUCCAAGGUCGCCGGCACUGUUAGGCCGGAGUUGGGAGGCGGUGGUGAAGUUUCUGGGAAGUCCAAUGUCUCCUGUGCGGCCUGUGGGUCGUCCGCUACGCCGCCGCGACCUGCAACACUUUGGGGCGAACAUCAUCGUAACGUUCUCCCUCCGCACAAGUUCGCUGCCUCGCUCGCGAGCACUUCAUGCGACCAGCCAUCUCUCAUCGCUAUUUUGCAUCGGGAUGCCAUCCGUCGAUUUGCAAAGAAAACAGAAGUUCAGUGCAUACGUCCUUCAAUUCACCAUCUCUCACAUUGUUAGUUAAAAAAGAAGCACAAGACGGCGCUGGCAGGUGGAUGUGUUGUAUCAGAACAUGAAGUGCUGGUUGAAGCUAGUCCCAUGCGGAGCUACUAGUGCUUCUCUUUUUGUAAUUGAUUAGCUGUUGCUGUUGUCCUAGGUUGUUUUGGUCUUAAAUUAUUCACCAUCUCUCACAUUGUUAGUUAAAACAGAAGUUCAGAAGCAUAUGAUUCUCUGCUCUGUUUAUUUGCCUACAAACUAUUCCGCCCAAGUGCUAUGCAGCCGGGCCGAGGGAGCAGUGCCAAGCUACAACCCGUGAUGUUGUUGACGGCCAGGUGCUCCAUCACGGGCAGUUCAAAAAUACUAAUGCUAGUCGGCCGUAUAGGUUUAGUAGUGGUAAAUGCUUCGGGUCUUGAUGUUUGGCCGUACUUGAGGUAACAUGCUUGAGGUUCAGCUUGGUACAUUAUAUGGGAGCAGUUUUGAUCUGGUCUUUUUCUGCGGUUUGGCACCAUGUUA